GAUGAACGCUGGCGGCGUGCCUAAUACAUGCAAGUCGAGCGAACGGACGAGAAGCUUGCUUCUCUGAUGUUAGCGGCGGACGGGUGAGUAACACGUGGAUAACCUACCUAUAAGACUGGGAUAACUUCGGGAAACCGGAGCUAAUACCGGAUAAUAUUUUGAACCGCAUGGUUCAAAAGUGAAAGACGGUCUUGCUGUCACUUAUAGAUGGAUCCGCGCUGCAUUAGCUAGUUGGUAAGGUAACGGCUUACCAAGGCAACGAUGCAUAGCCGACCUGAGAGGGUGAUCGGCCACACUGGAACUGAGACACGGUCCAGACUCCUACGGGAGGCAGCAGUAGGGAAUCUUCCGCAAUGGGCGAAAGCCUGACGGAGCAACGCCGCGUGAGUGAUGAAGGUCUUCGGAUCGUAAAACUCUGUUAUUAGGGAAGAACAUAUGUGUAAGUAACUGUGCACAUCUUGACGGUACCUAAUCAGAAAGCCACGGCUAACUACGUGCCAGCAGCCGCGGUAAUACGUAGGUGGCAAGCGUUAUCCGGAAUUAUUGGGCGUAAAGCGCGCGUAGGCGGUUUUUUAAGUCUGAUGUGAAAGCCCACGGCUCAACCGUGGAGGGUCAUUGGAAACUGGAAAACUUGAGUGCAGAAGAGGAAAGUGGAAUUCCAUGUGUAGCGGUGAAAUGCGCAGAGAUAUGGAGGAACACCAGUGGCGAAGGCGACUUUCUGGUCUGUAACUGACGCUGAUGUGCGAAAGCGUGGGGAUCAAACAGGAUUAGAUACCCUGGUAGUCCACGCCGUAAACGAUGAGUGCUAAGUGUUAGGGGGUUUCCGCCCCUUAGUGCUGCAGCUAACGCAUUAAGCACUCCGCCUGGGGAGUACGACUGCAAGGUUGAAACUCAAAGGAAUUGACGGGGACCCGCACAAGCGGUGGAGCAUGUGGUUUAAUUCGAAGCAACGCGAAGAACCUUACCAAAUCUUGACAUCCUUUGACAACUCUAGAGAUAGAGCCUUCCCCUUCGGGGGGGCAAAGUGACAGGUGGUGCAUGGUUGUCGUCAGCUCGUGUCGUGAGAUGUUGGGUUAAGUCCCGCAACGAGCGCAACCCUUAAGCUUAGUUGCCGUCAUUAAGUUGGGCACUCUAAGUUGACUGCCGGUGACAAACCGGAGGAAGGUGGGGAUGACGUCAAAUCAUCAUGCCCCUUAUGAUUUGGGCUACACACGUGCUACAAUGGACAAUACAAAGGGCAGCGAAACCGCGAGGUCAAGCAAAUCCCAUAAAGUUGUUCUCAGUUCGGAUUGUAGUCUGCAACUCGACUACAUGAAGCUGGAAUCGCUAGUAAUCGUAGAUCAGCAUGCUACGGUGAAUACGUUCCCGGGUCU
rnacentral:rRNA from 1 species